rnacentral:rRNA from 1 species
UACAGAGGUCUCAACCGUUGUUCGGAUUCAUUGGGCGUAAAGGGUGCGUAGGCGGUCGCGUAAGUCAGGGGUGAAAUCUCAGGGCUCAACCCUGAAACUGCACUUGAUACUGCGUGGCUCGGGUACUGGAGAGGAGACUGGAAUUUACGGUGUAGCAGUGAAAUGCGUAGAUAUCGUAAGGAAGACCAGUGGCGAAGGCGAGUCUCUGGACAGUUACCGACGCUGAGGCACGAAGGUCAGGGGAGCAAACGGG